GGAAAACAUACUUUUAAUGUUGUCAUUUUUAAUCUUUAGAAUAUUUCUGAGAUCACAAAAACAAUCUUGCAAAUAAACGGUAUGAGGAUUAACGAUAUUCCGUCUUGGCUUCUAGAAAAUGCUUAACAUUAACAACUUUUUAACUUCAUUCCCGAAGGUACUCUCUAAAACCUACAAAAAAGAUGGGACCAAUUUAUGUUAAAAACAUUAUUUACACAUAAUGUCUUAUGUAUUAUGUUGAAGUUAAAAAAAAAAGUAAUUAAAAAUGUGACCAAAUAAAUAAUAAAAAAGAAACUUA